GACGAACGCUGGCGGCGUGCUUAACACAUGCAAGUCGAACGGAAAGGCCCAGCUUGCUGGGUGCUCGAGUGGCGAACGGGUGAGUAACACGUGGGUGUACUGCCCCUAACUUCGGGAUAAGCUUGGGAAACUGGGGCUAAUACAGGGUAUGACAAUCGUUUCGGGUCGGUUGUGGAAAGUUUUUUCGGUUAGGGAUGAGCCCGCGGCCUAUCAGCUUGUUGGUGGGGUAAUGGCCUACCAAGGCGUCGACGGGUAGCCGGCCUGAGAGGGUGGACGGCCACAUUGGGACUGAGAUACGGCCCAGACUCCUACGGGAGGCAGCAGUGGGGAAUAUUGCACAAUGGGCGCAAGCCUGAUGCAGCGACGCCGCGUGGGGGAUGACGGCCUUCGGGUUGUAAACCUCUUUCGACAGGGACGAAGCUUUGGUGACGGUACCUGUAUAAGAAGCACCGGCUAACUACGUG
rnacentral:rRNA from 1 species